rnacentral:lncRNA from 1 species
UCAUUUGAAUACAGUAUUUACAGAGGAUGUUUGAGUUGAGAGCUUUUUUAGGUUUGAGGGGCUUGAUUUUUUUGUAAAUAAAAUUAUGCUUUGUGGCUAUCCAUCAACAUAAGUAUAAAAAGAAAGAACGCUUCAACCCCCUUCCCCAUUUAGAUUAUUUAUUAACAUAUUUCGAAAGUAAGGUUAGCUCUAUAAAUAAUUUAGAGAGGUGAGAGUAUUUAUUUUUGGUAUGGCUGGCUCACUGCACAGACUCUGUGUUUAUGUGUGUGUGUCUGUGUGAGAGAAGAAAAAUCUGUAGAGAAGAGGCACGCUUAUGACUAUUGUUCAAAUACAUAAAAACAGUUAUUUUAAAACAGUCCACAAGAGGGGUGUCUAGUUUUCAGAGACACUUCAGAAACUUUGCUCAGAAAACAGAUGCUACAGUUUGUGCAGGCAUGCGGUAGGAAAGGUAGAUCACCUCUGGCUACUCCUGAGGCCCUGCUGAGCCAGCAAAAUGCUUUCCAGUUCCUCUUUGGCUCUCACGAUGCCCACCUAGGCUUUCUGGCCAGUGUACUGAACAGUGCUACAAGCCCUCAGGAGCUCAAGAUAGCAGAGUCCUUCUUUCAAAGCCCAGCUUAGUGAGGACUUGGGUCAACUUCAGUAAGCUUCCUCUGAAGCAACUGAAGGCCGAGCCUUUAGAGCAACCAUUGUCAACCUUUGUGGGUCGCCUAAGAGCAUCGCAAACCAGAUAUUUACAUUAUGAUUCAUAACAGUGACAAUCACAGUUAUGAGGUAGAAAGGAAAGGGAUUUUAUGGUUGGGGGUUAGUCCAACAAGAGGGACAGUGUUAAUGCUUCUGAAGCAUCAGGAAGGUUGAAAGCCACUGCUCUAGAGCCAAGUGAGUGCAUGUCUAGGGUUCCCAUGUUUACAGUAAGGACCGGCUCAGGCACUGACCCUCUGAGUCACGUGAAUGAGGACGAAGAAUUUGGAAUAGGUUUGGUUACAUCUAUUUCUCAUCCCCUUAUUUUCCACCAUUUAAAAAUAAUAAACAUGUUUCUUACCACCGUAUGUUCAUAUGGAUAAGACUAAGUCCAAAAAGGUGACUACAUCCAAAUUUAUAUUUCGGGGAAAUACCAUGAGAUAAUUAUAGCAUACUGGGCAUGUGUCCACACACGGAUUGGUUUCACUGCUUUAUAAAUAAAAGGAACAACUCUGGGUAUUUGUAUAGAAUUUUCUUCAUAUGUAACAUCUUUCCAUUUCCUGAGCCUUGGGGGUGGGGUGGGAGAAUGCCACUUGCUGUCUGUGAAGUCCACUGUUGGAAACAUAAUUCCAUAGUCCCAGAAGGAAUUCAGUCCCCACCAACUUACUCUUUCAAAGUGUGGUCUUCCCGCGACUCUGCAGCUCUGCAGUUCACUCCAGCUGAACGACCAGGGACAAGUACAACACAGGAGUUUGGCUUAAGUGGCAGCAGACUAAUAUCUAAAGUUGACAUAACUGAAAUCUGACAUUUGAGGCAUAUGUCUCCGCGUCCCCACACACCGGCUUGAGUGGCUCACCUGCUUGAUGUCCUUUCAACUUCCGGGGAGACCGUCUGGAGACCUGUCAUCCUGUCAUCCUGUUCCUAGGAGCUUGCUCUAUGUCACUCAUGUUUUCCUAACCUUUAAAAAAUGGCUGUGUUCCAAGCCUGGCCAUUAUGUCUGACAAUGCACGUGUUGAUGGUCUUGAGAUAUACAGUGACUAAAUGCAGCUGACCCCUGACCCAUUCCAAACAGUCUCAAGGACAGGCAGCUGAGUCCCCUGCAGCUCGCCUGUCACUGUUCAUCCAGGAAUGGAGAGGAGAAAUCAAGUUUACUAAAGAAAAAGGUUAGAAGUGAAAUCAUCAAAAUUUACACAAGAUAGGCAGGGUUUUUCCCUUUAAUCUGCCUCCAAGGAAACUGAAGCAGUGAUAGUGUAUAGUUUCUGAACAAACGUUCAUAGCCUAGCCUUCACAACAAGGCUGAAACAUACCGUCUAGGGUUUCCGAAAGAUGAAAGAAUUCAUAUCAGAAAUACCAUGUUUCCUGAAUGUGCCACAGCUGCAGUCUAAAAGCAGCCUACAGUAAACAGAUGGGCAAAUCCAGGGACGGCCGGAGAGCGGAAGCACUCUGAGGGACCAGACCGACCUCCUUCUAUCCUUGGAAACUUUUUGAGCCUCAUUCUGAGGUGUAAUUCAGACUUCUGUUGCCUUUCGCCUCUGCCUAUGUAUCCACAGCCAAUAACAGCUGAAAGGAAACUCAGUAAUAAACCAAAAGGACAGAAAAUUCAACAAACGUUACUUAUUAAAACGAAGCCAACCCCUUCCUUCUCUAGAAGACAACUCUGAGCAGCCUGAACAAGGUCUCAGACCUGCAUCCUCUCCACAGCUAUCUGCCCAGUGGAUUGAAGGCACUAACAGAAACGACUUUCCUGAAACAAGAAACUACAGCUUUGUUUACUCUUCAGAAUGUGUGUAUGUGUGUGCACAGAGGGACAGGAUGAGACGGCUUCUGACAAGGAGUAAGAAGAAUGAGACAGGAUUUAAACUGAUGUCAGUGAACACUGUUGAAGCCCUCCAGUUAUCCUCAUGUCUUAGUAACAUACUCAGAGUAUUCACUCGCUGCUGUGUGCCAGGCUUUGCAGACAUUGCAGGUCAAUUCAACAGUUUUCACCCUUUCCAAACUCACAGCAGUACAUAUGGAU